AAGACUGUAACUGUGUAACCAAAUAACCCCCGUUUUAUAAGAGCCAAUCCAUUUCUGGUGUUUUGCAUUCUGGCAGCAUUAGCAAACUAGAACAGGAGUCAAAAUGACAGGAGCCAGCGUUAGCUGCGAUCGGGGUGGCUAUGGGGGAGGAUUGGCCUGGGUUGGGGCUGGAAGCACCUGCCACUGGGUAGGACCUGGGAAGGGAGGUGUAUCAGUCAGGGUUCUCUGGAGAAACAGAGCCAACAGCAUAUAUGUGGGCAUGUUUAUUUAUUUACUCAGUCAUGUGUCUGCUUAUUGGGACUGCCUCACACAAUUGUGGGGACAGGGAAGUCCAAAAUCCACGGGGCAGGUUGGCAGGCUGGAAAUUCUGGCAACAGUUGACUUCUUGAGUCUGAAAUCCAUCAGGGAGGCUGGCACGCUGGAAACUCAGACCAGUGUGUGUAGUCUUGAGGCAGACCUGUGGCUCUGGGUUUUUCGCUCUUAAGGCCCUCACACAAGGGGAUGAGGCCCACCACAUUGUCUUCUUUACCAUCCUUUACAGCUGAUCGUCCAUGCUAAUCUCAUCUUCAAAGUUUCUCCAGCCGACAGGACUUUGACCACCAAAGGUGACCCAGGGCAUGGAGAGGCAGGCUCCGGAGGCUGCUUCUGUCCGAAAUCACAAAGGCCAGGGCCUCUGAACCCAACUGCUUGUUCCCCAAACACUCCCUGCCCUUGUGCGUCCCCCGCGUUUGAGCUGUCAAGCCUAGCAGGAAGGGCUCAGACAGAACUAACCAGACGCAGUCAGGGGAGGAACUAAUCCUGUCUGUGGCUGGGAGCAGAGGGAGGGCAGGGGCUCCGGGGGGAUUGUUUGACUGCAAGCAACAAAAGCCACACAGAGUAUCCCCCCAUUGAAGGGGGUACCCUGGAAGGACACAGGGACCCCCAAAAUUUACUUCUAGGAAUUUAUGCUGUCGAUAUAGUCAAAGGGGUGCAAAAUUACAACUGUGAGCGACAUUAUUUAGUGCAGCAUUGUCUGUAACAGCAAAGCAAAAACAGGCAUUGGUCCACAGGGAAGCUGGUAACAGCUGGUAACAGCUGUUGCCUCAGUCCCCCCAGGUUUCCUUGGGGGGCUGAGAACAGGGUGAGAGGGAGGUGGCCCACCAUAUCUCCUUUUGUUUCCUUUUGGAAUUUUGAACUGUGAUUAUAUUGCCUAUUCAAAAAAUUAAAAUAAAAAAGAGAAAGGAAGGACACAGGAGACACAGUUGCAGAGCUGGGGAGAAGGGCUCCCCCUUGCCCCUCUCUGCCGGUGGCUUCCUCCCUGAUCCAGCCCCUCCAUGCCCCCUCCCAAGUUUCCAGGAGAAAGAAUCCAAUUGGAUUGGCUUGAGACAGGAGUCCUUCCACCCUGGCUCCAUCGGCCCUGGAAAGAAGCAGAAAGAAGCCACAUGACGUGGUACGUGAGAGCUGCCCACAGGGGCUGGAAAUGGGCCUCUUCUGCUCACCGCAGCACCCCUGUUUCCCGGCAGACGGCCUGGCACAUAGUAGAAGUGGGCAGCCUGGAGGACUGGGGCUGGAGAUGGGAGUGACACCAGCCAGUGUCACUCAAGAUGCUGACAUGGGCCAGUCAUUCUCACAGCCAGAGCUGACAUUCGGGGAUCAGCCUGGUGAGUGCGCAUCCACUGACAUCUCAGAACUUCUGGAGACAUCCACAGGCUGAAAACAGCAGGCAGAGUCCUCUUUCGGGGGGCUUUCUGUUCCCCCAUUCGUGUAUAAUAAUAACAGUAGCAAUAUAAUAAUUGCACAUUUACCUAUCACUUACAAUGUGCCAGGCAGUAAUCUAAGUGUUUUAUGUAUAGGAACUCAGUCCUCACAACACCCACCUCAUAUAUAAAGCACUUAGAACAGGGCCUGGCAUAUGACACAGUCUAAAAGUUAUAAUAAUCAUCACCCCCAUUUUUUAGUUGUAAAAACAGAGGCACAGAGAGGUUAAGUAACUUGCCCAAGGUUGCAUGGAUUCUGAGUGGCUCACAGGGCUCCCCCUGCUCCAGACUGCCUGGCUUCACAGUCUCUGUUUUUAGCUGCUUCUACUGUGGAGGUGACAGGUGCACCAGGCUUAUAAGUUCUGUUUCCUGUUGCAAAGGCUCAAAGUGGCUCCCUGAAAAGUAAAAUCUUGGCAGUUUGUGCUGCUGUUUUCAUCCACUCACACCCUGCCAGAAAGUUCCCCUCGACCUGUUGUCCUCUCUAGUGGCCUCUUCUCUUUACAGGUGGCUACGCUUGCUCUUUCUCUCCCUCCUCCCUUCCACCCAGGCCUCACCCCUGUGUCGACUGUGCUCCCACCGAGGUCAGAUCCCCUCAUUGCCAAAUCCAGCACCCACUUCGCAAUGCUCUUCUCCACGGCUUCCCCCGGGCCUUCCUCUUGAACCACUCUUGCCCUGCCAAUCCGGAAUUCUGGCUGGGCUGGCCUUCCUGCUCGCCUUCCCAGCCUCUUGUCCUCUUCCUCGACGGCAAGCCCGGGGCAACGCCAUCCCCUUUGGCCUCUCUGCUGAGGACCCCUCCUCUGCCUCUGCCCCACUUUCUCCCCAGAACCACACAACCGCCUGCCAACCUGACCUCUCCCAUAACCUUGAUGUAGCCCAAGCAGAAGUCCUCCUUCCCAAGGCUGUGCUUUGCCAUCUUGCCCCUCACACGGGUCCUCUCCGUGCUUCCCGUCCCCAGGAAGGACGCCACCAUCCAGACACUUGUGCAAGCCAGGAACAGUCAUCUUGUGCUCCUCCCUUUGCUCGCCUCCGGCCCCAUGGUCCCUUGUUAUUGAAGCCUGGCGAUGUGACCUACUGAACGAACACUUUCUAGUUGCCACUGCCACCCCCUGGCCCAACACAACAUCACAUCUUACAGUCUCGCAUUGGCCACCUGUGUCCCUUAAAGCUGCUCUUCAAACUGAAACGUGCGCCUGAAUAACCUGAGCUUUUAGAGAUCCCAAUGACCUGGUCCACUCUGGACCAAUUAAAUCAGAAUCCCAGGUUGUGGGAUUUAAAGCUUUAAAACCACUCUAAUUUUGAGGCUCUGUGCUGCAAAUAAUGUGCCUCACAGUGCUCAAAUAAGUUUAUCAGUGGUUCUCACACUACAGUGUGCAUCAGAGUCACCUGGAGGGCUUGUUGAAAUACAGAUUGCUGGGCCCAACCCCCACAGUUUGAGUCAGCAAACCACUGAGAACCACUGCUUAAAUAAUGCAGAAAUUUAUCCUUUCACCUAACACACAGGCCAGGGGUGGGGAGGGCUCCAAUCGACGCCAGCUGGAUCUCAUGAGAUUCAGUCACUUCUUGGCUCUUGUUCACCUCAGACAAUGCCAGGCUUCUGAGCAGAUGAUAUUCAAAGGCCCUGCAGCAACUCCAGCCUCAUCUCUCUCUACAGCCUCCCACCCCUCACAUUCCAAGGGGUCCUAAAUCAGCAGUGGUUCCUGGGACACAUAAUUCUACGGAGCCCUUGGGAGGCAGGAUCAACCCACCAGGAGGGAGAUCUAGGCUUUUCUGUCUCCCUGCACACCCCCACUUCCCACCUCCUCCUUUCCCUGGGGACAACCUGCAAAUCGCUACCCCAGGUUGGCACAGUCCACCCCUCUACUCAGAAUCACUUCUCUCUCUAAGCCUUCACUCAUGCCCUGUUUCUACCUGGAAUGACUUCCCACCCUCUGCUUCACCUGUCCAAAUGCCCAGCCCUGGAGGUACAGCUGAGCCCCACUGCUCCUCAGAAUCCAUCGGGAUGUUCUCCCUUCCUGAUCUUCCUGGUCUGUCCAGAUCCUGCUUUUUUGCCAUUUGUUGUCCUUCCAUGUGUUGGUCUCGGCUUCUGACUGGGCUGGACAACACGUUCCCACAGCCAGAGUGGUGGGGUGGAAGGACGAUGGCUCUUGUUGGGUAGCAGACCUGGGUUCGACUCCAGGUUCUGUCAGUUGCUUUCUCCUUGAGCUUGGGCAAGUUACUUGAGGUCUUUGAGCCAAGUGGGUUUUUCUUUUCUUUCUUUCUUUCUUUUUUUUUUUUUUUUUUU